AACGAACGCUGGCGGCAGGCUUAACACAUGCAAGUCGAGCGCCCCGCAAGGGGAGCGGCAGACGGGUGAGUAACGCGUGGGAAUCUACCCAUCUCUACGGAAUAACCCAGGGAAACUUGGACUAAUACCGUAUACGUCCUUCGGGAGAAAGAUUUAUCGGAGAUGGAUGAGCCCGCGUUGGAUUAGCUAGUUGGUGGGGUAAUGGCCUACCAAGGCGACGAUCCAUAGCUGGUCUGAGAGGAUGAUCAGCCACACUGGGACUGAGACACGGCCCAGACUCCUACGGGAGGCAGCAGUGGGGAAUAUUGGACAAUGGGCGCAAGCCUGAUCCAGCCAUGCCGCGUGAGUGAUGAAGGCCCUAGGGUUGUAAAGCUCUUUCACCGGUGAAGAUAAUGACGGUAACCGGAGAAGAAGCCCCGGCUAACUUCGUG
rnacentral:rRNA from 1 species